CGGCUUAAUUCGAUGCAACCCGAAGAACCUUACCUGGGUUUGACAUCACGGGAAAAGCUGUGGAAACACAGUGUCCAUUAGGGCCCGUGACAGGUGGUGCAUGGCUGUCGUCAGCUCGUGUCGUGAGAUGUUGGGUUAAGUCCCGCAACGAGCGCAACCCUUGUCCUAUGUUGCCAGCGGUUCGGCCGGGGACUCAUAGGGGACUGCCGGGGAUAACUCGGAGGAAGGUGAGGACGACGUCAAGUCAUCAUGCCCCUUAUAUCCAGGGCUGCACGCAUGCUACAAUGGCCGGUACAACGGGCAGCGACCUCGCGAGAGUGAGCGAAUCCCAUAAAGCCGGCCCCAGUUCGGAUUGAAGUCUGCAACUCGACUUCAUGAAGCCGGAGUCGCUAGUAAUCGCGGAUCAGCAAAGCCGCGGUGAAUACGUUCUCGGGGAUUGUACACACCGCCCGUCAAGUCACGGAAGUCGGCAACACCCAAAGUCAGUGGCCUAACCAUUUGGAGGGAGCUGCCUAAGGUGGGGUCGGUAACUGGGACUAAGUCGUAACAAGGUAACCAAUCGAAUCCCGCG
rnacentral:rRNA from 1 species